UACGUAGGGGGCAAGCGUUGUCCGGAUUUAUUGGGCGUAAAGCGCACGCAGGCGGUCUUGUAAGUUUCGCGUGACAGGUGGCGGCUUAACUGCCACAGGAUGCGAAAACUGCAAGACUUGGGGCGAAAGAGGGACGCGGAAUUCCAGGUGGAGCGGUGAAAUGCGUAGAGAUCUGGAAGAACACCAAAGGCGAAGGCAGCGAUCCUGGAUCGUUACUGACGCUCAUGUGCGAAAGCCAGGGAGCGAACGGG
rnacentral:rRNA from 1 species